CAGUAGCCGCGGUAAAACGGAGGGUGCAAGCGUUAAUCGGAAUUACUGGGCGUAAAGCGCACGCAGGCGGUUUGUUAAGUCAGAUGUGAAAUCCCCGGGCUCAACCUGGGAACUGCAUUUGAAACUGGCAAGCUAGAGUCUCGUAGAGGGGGGUAGAAUUCCAGGUGUAGCGGUGAAAUGCGUAGAGAUCUGGAGGAAUACCGGUGGCGAAGGCGGCCCCCUGGACAAAGACUGACGCUCAGGUGCGAAAGCGUGGGGAGCAAACAGGAUUAGAUACCCCAGUAGUCCCUGUCUCUUAUAC
rnacentral:rRNA from 1 species